GGAAAUAAAGGUUUUGACAGUUCUUCUUGAUCCCUCUAAACGUAGCCUUGUCUCGUUAUUGGAGGGAGCUGUUAUAAUCACACUGGGGAUUGCUAUGCUCUGCAUGCUCCCCUGAGCUUGAGUCACUUAGCUCUUUUAAGAGCUUGUUUCUGACACGCUCUCCUUGGAGGAGGGGUCUUCACCACACAGUCCUGGAUGCUGGAGGUUCAUACAGGGUGG